AUGUCCUGUAAGCUGUCUUUCAUGAUGCUAAGUGUCCUAUUUUUUAAAAUUCUGUUUUAUUUUGCUUAUGAGUUUACUUCAGAAGGAAGUAUCUUUUCUAGAGAUCCAGAUAACCACCUGGGGUGGUUUCCACUGGUGUUCCUAUCAGCACCUUCAAGACACUCUGAUUCUGAAUUAUUUUUUGUGUUAGUUUUUCAGCCUGGAAUUCUGAGUCUGUUCCCACUCCCACAUGUUGUUCAGUCUUGGGGUUCUCAUACCUCCAGAAGACUCCUAUUUUACCCACAGGGUGGGGCUAUUGGCUCAUUUCCAGCAGUUAUCUUGGGUAUGCAGGCAGAGAUGAUCUGGUUCCUUCAAGCAAUUCUACCACCUUUGUUGACCUCUUCUUCUUCCCCGACUUACUGUUGUAGAGGCUACCUGAGCUCAUUGUCCCUGGAGAUGGACCAAAUAGAAAAACAAGCAGUGCCUGUGUGGUGAGUUUCAAGAGGCAUCUGUUCUCUGGGGAGUGGGUGGGUGGUAAAGCAAAGUUGGCAGAUGUGCAUAUUAGCUAUCCAUUACUGUAUAAUUAAUUAUACACAAAACUAAACUAUACACUAAACUAAAACUUCACAGCUUAGAACAGCAAGUAUGUAUUAUCUCACACAAUUUCUGAGAGUUAGGAACCUGAAAAUGGCUUAGCUAGUUUGGUUCUGGCUCAGGGUGCCCUAUGGAGUUGCAGCCAAGAUGUCAUCUGGGACUACUAUCAUUUGAAGGCUCAGCUGGGGCUGGAGGCUUCACUUCCAAGAUGGCUCACUUAUAGGGCUAUUGGUGGGAGGCUUCAGUUCCUCUCCACGUGGAACUUUCCUCAUGGCAUGGAACUGGCUUCCCUCAGAGUGAAAGACCAAGAGAGACACUAAGACAGAAGAUGCAAUGUUUUUAUGACCUAGUCUUGGAAGUGACAUACUGUCAUUUCUACCAUAUUUAUUCAUUAGAAGCAAGUCAUUAAGUCCAGCCCACACUCAGAGUGAGAGGAUUUAAGCUGAACCUCUUGAAGAAAUGGUAUCAAAGUAUUUAUGGACAUUUAAAAAACCACCACAAUACAUAUAGGUGAACUUCACAAGGUGCAGACAUGGGCUGAGACAGAAUAUUGGAUAAUAUCUCAUUCUGCUAACAGCAGUCUCAUCUGUAAUAAAAUUCCAGCAUUCAGCAAUUAUCACAAUCAAGUAGGAAAAGGGCUUGUUGGCAAAAACUUAUCAAAGAUGUUACUUCAUUUAUCCAUUUAUUCUGAGCCACAGCAUAAUAGCAACAAAUUGUGUGUCCUGUGUAAUUUGGGUACCUCUGCUCAAUAAUAGCUGAACAGAUUUUAUCCUAUUUUUAGAAUGGUUAAUAUAUACACAUGGCACAAAAUUUAAAAGGUAUAAAAGUUUCUGGUUCAAAAAUAAGAUUCCCUCCUUUUCUUUUUUUCUGAUUCUUUGAAUGCAAUCAGAUUUACUGAUUUCUCAUGUAAUCUUCCAUGUAUAGCCUAUGCUGUACAUGUAGGUACACAUAUUUUUUCUUUCCCACAGAUAAAAUACUGUACGCAUUGUUUUAUUCUUGGCUUUUUUUAAUGGACAGUAUAUCUUCAAGGACUUGUACAAUAGCACAUAUAGACCUGCUUUAUUUUUUUUAAAUGUCUGCCUAGUACUGCAUUAUAUUUAUUUAAGCAGUCAUCUAUAGACAGACGACAUUAAGUUGUUUCCAGUCUCUUGUUACUAUGGACAAAGCUGCAAUGACUAUCUCUGCACAUUCAUCAUUUCUCACACAGGAGUAGAAUUCUUGUUCAUUUGUAACAUUGACAGAUACUGACAAAUUUCUCCCCAAAAGGGCUUACUAUUUUGCUCGCACUACAAUAUGAAUGCCUGUUUCUUCAAACCCUUGGCAAUACAAUAGACUAUCCACUUUUUGAUAUUUGCCAAUUCUGUAGGCACAAAAUGGUCUGCAGUUGUAGUUUUAAUUUUUAUUACCCUUAUGUAUGAGGUUGGGCCUCCUUUUAUGUGCUUAAAAUCAUCUGCAUUUGCUUUACUAUGAAC
rnacentral:lncRNA from 1 species